GGUGAGUAAUGUCUGGGAAACUGCCUGAUGGAGGGGGAUAACUACUGGAAACGGUAGCUAAUACCGCAUAACGUCGCAAGACCAAAGAGGGGGACCUUCGGGCCUCUUGCCAUCGGAUGUGCCCAGAUGGGAUUAGCUAGUAGGUGGGGUAACGGCUCACCUAGGCGACGAUCCCUAGCUGGUCUGAGAGGAUGACCAGCCACACUGGAACUGAGACACGGUCCAGACUCCUACGGGAGGCAGCAGUGGGGAAUAUUGCACAAUGGGCGCAAGCCUGAUGCAGCCAUGCCGCGUGUAUGAAGAAGGCCUUCGGGUUGUAAAGUACUUUCAGCGGGGAGGAAGGGAGUAAAGUUAAUACCUUUGCUCAUUGACGUUACCCGCAGAAGAAGCACCGGCUAACUCCGUGCCAGCAGCCGCGGUAAUACGGAGGGUGCAAGCGUUAAUCGGAAUUACUGGGCGUAAAGCGCACGCAGGCGGUUUGUUAAGUCAGAUGUGAAAUCCCCGGGCUCAACCUGGGAACUGCAUCUGAUACUGGCAAGCUUGAGUCUCGUA
rnacentral:rRNA from 1 species